UACGGGGGGAGCAAGGCGUUGUUCGAAUUUACUGGGCGUAAAGGGCGCAGGUAGGCGGCGUGACAAGUCACUUGUGAAAUCUCCGGGCUUAACUCGGAACGGUCAAGUGAUACUGUCGUGCUAGAGUACAGAAGGGGCAACUGGAAUUCUCGGUGGUAGCGGUGAAAUGCGUAGAUAUCGAAGAGGAACACCAGUGGCGAAGG
rnacentral:rRNA from 1 species